rnacentral:rRNA from 1 species
AUGGAUCCAGGCCAUGGCCCUCCCUGCUCGUCCCUCCAUCCCCUCUACGACGGUGAAGACGAGGCCAUAGCACUCGCCUCCCCCAUGAGCUCCAGGCAUGAGGUCCAAGACCCGCCUCAUCCAGAUCGGGCCGCGGUGUCGCGCCACCACCACGUGAACCCAGCUGCCUCCUCCGCCAUUGACAACAUCCACACGGACGACCAUGCACCACCAACACCACCACCUCUCCCCCCGUCACUCGGCUACAUGGAGGACGUGUAG